CCGACAAGGAAGUGCGAGGAAGAAGAAGAGGAAGAGGGAGGAGAAGAGAAGAGAAGCGAAGCCGCUGCGUUUAUAUAUUAAAUAUAUAGCUUUUUUUAAUUAGUCACGUUGAGUUCCGAGUGCCGUGUUAAGUGGAAGUAUUUAUUUAGGCCCUUAAUUUAAUCAAUCCGACCUCGAGUGUCCGUGUGCGUUAACAGUAAACGUGAAGCGUAUUGGUAUUGGUAAUUGGCUGCCGCUAAAUUGAAAGUUUCAAGUUUUCCCGUUCAUUAUUCGCGUCGACCGUGUAAAAAUUGAGUUUCGAGAUCGCAAAUAUGUUCACCAGUCGCGCUUCGUUUUUGGCCAAUCGCCGCAUGAUUUUCGAUUUCUCCGAGAAGAACAACGACAUCUACUUGGAUGCUUUUGGUAUGAGUGAUAAGAGCAGCAGUGCAACGAACAGCCUGCCAAAUAGUCCCAUACACAGCAACAACAACAAUCCUUCGCUGCUGAACAACAACAACAAUAACAACAGCAGCACCAGCAACAGCAACAACAGCCUAAACGUCGGCAACAACAACAGCAAUCCGAGCCUGGGCGGCAGCAACAGCAACGCACUGGUUUCCGUGGGCAGUAACGGUAUAAUGUCCGCCGCCGGUUUGGUCAACAACAACAACAAUCCGUGCAGCGCCAACCGCAAUGUGGUCGCCAUGGUCGACGACGACGCCUGCUUCCGGCUGGACACGGAUGCCACGGUGACGUACGGCGAGAAGGAACCGGAUCCGGACAACAUCAAGAUGUUCGUCGGCCAGGUCCCCAAAUCGAUGGACGAGUCGCAGCUGCGCGAGAUGUUCGAGGAGUACGGCGCCGUCCACUCGAUCAAUGUGCUGCGGGACAAGGCCACCGGAAUAAGCAAGGGUUGCUGCUUUGUGACGUUUUAUACGAGACGCGCCGCCCUGAAAGCCCAGGAUGCUUUGCAUAAUGUUAAGACGCUAAAUGGGAUGUACCAUCCCAUUCAAAUGAAACCCGCCGAUAGCGAGAAUCGCAAUGAACGCAAACUGUUUGUGGGUAUGCUAAACAAGAAGCUGAACGAGAACGACGUUCGCAAGCUAUUUGAAGUCCACGGAGCCAUCGAGGAGUGCACCGUUCUUCGGGACCAGAACGGACAGAGCAAGGGUUGUGCCUUCGUCACAUUCGCCACCAAACACGCUGCCAUUUCGGCCAUUAAAGUGACCCUGAGCCAGAACAAGAUCAUGGAGGGCUGCACAUCGCCGCUGGUCGUCAAGUUCGCCGACACGCAAAAGGAGAAGGAGCAGAAGAAGAUCCAGCAGAUUCAGGCCAACCUCUGGAACCUGGCCAGCAACAUCAACAUCCCGCUGGGCCAAACGGCCACCAGCGUGACCACGCCCAUCCUGCCCAAUCCGCCCCAGCAGCCUUCGCCGGUGCUCGGCGCCGAUGCCAUCACCCCGGCCUCCAUCCAACUGCUGCAGCAACUGCAGGCGGUUGGGCUGCAGCAGCAGUUGCUGCAAGCCCUCACAGGACUGGGAGCCCAGCAGAGCAGCUCGGCGACGGACACCAGCGCAGUUGCGGCCGCAGGACUUCUGACCCCGAUGACCGUCCAGAAUCUGGCGGCCAUUGCGGCCAUGACGCAGCCGAGUCUCUCGAAUGCCGCCGCGGCAGCAGCCGCUGCCUCAUCGCCUGGAAGCGCCCAACUGACCAACACGGCUGCGCUGCUCUGGUCCGAUCCGAAUCCCCUGGCAUCGGCUUAUAUGUCAACAGCCGCCGGUCUGCCGCAAUUCGGGAGCGCCAGUGCAUUGUCCACUUCGCCGCUGGCCAGCGUUGCCCUCAGCGCCGCAGCCGCCGCCGCGGCGGGAAAGCAGAUUGAAGGACCCGAGGGCUGCAACCUUUUCAUCUACCAUCUGCCGCAGGAGUUCACCGAUACGGAUCUGGCCUCCACGUUCCUGCCCUUCGGCAAUGUGAUCUCGGCCAAGGUGUUCAUCGACAAGCAGACCAGCCUGUCGAAGUGCUUCGGCUUCGUCUCGUUCGACAACCCGGACUCGGCCCAGGUGGCCAUAAAGGCGAUGAACGGCUUCCAGGUGGGCACCAAGCGCCUCAAGGUGCAGCUGAAGAAGCCCAAGGACUCGAAGCCCUACUAGAGGCCACCAUCGGCAGCGAGGACACAUCCCCGGACACAUCGAGUAGAGAGGAAUACUGAGAUUUGUGAAAUAUGGAGUAGUCAAUGAAUGAAGAGUUGCCCGUGUAGAGCGCGCGUUGCAAGAGUAAACGAUGAUGCGAAUGCCAACGUUAUGGUAUGUUGUUUGCAAAGUUUCGCCACUUAUUUAAUUUUUGGAAAGGCAAUGUCAGGUGGUAGUUGAUGCAAGCCGCCAGUUGAAAGUUGAAUGCGAGUCGUUUUUACAAGACGCGUUGGUCCUUGAAAUAUGUAAAUAAUACCCGCUUGAGUCUCGAGAAUCCUAGAAGAGAUUGCCUAUUCCACUGCUGUCGCAAAAAAAAUUUCCAAGAACUGUAAAUUUAAAUACCACAAAAAUAAUGGAAAAUCUGUAAAAACCAAAAAAACUAAUAUGCAAUCAUGUUGUACGAUAGCCAAGAAAGCCAUUUUAUAAGCUUGUAAAGCAAACUAAUUUUAACAAAGUAAAUUUAUGAGAAUACGGAAUAAUA
rnacentral:misc_RNA from 1 species